AAAAUCCUCUGUGAUUUACAUCCUCAUAAUUCUCUCCCUUUCAACUCAAGCACACAGACACAGAGGGGGAUCGAGAGGAGAAGAGGGUUCUGUGAUUUCAUGUCAUCGCCGGCAGCCUCGUAUUGGUGCUACAGGUGCAGCCGUUUUCGUUCGAGCAUGGAGGCAGCUAGGGGCGGAGGACAGAAUCACCUGUCCAUAUUGCGAAACCGGAUUCGUCGAAGAGCUUGAGAUCCAAGAAGAUAUGGGGAACCGGAGAUUUCCUCCACCGUCUUCUUCUGCGGCUGCCGCGGCCGCCCUUAAUGAUAGGUAACCUUCCGUCUACAGAUCAAACUAAUCCUCUUCGUAGAACCCGCAGGAACGCCGGUAACCGCUCCCCGAUUAACCCCGUUAUUGUGCUUCGCGGAGGAGGGGCAGGACAAUCCGACAGUGGUGAGAACGAGGGCAGUGGACGAGGAUUCGAGUUGUAUUAUGACGAUGGAAGUGGGUCUGGGUUGAGACCUUUGCCGCCGAGCAUGUCGGAAUUUUUACUGGGAUCUGGGUUUGAAAGGUUAUUGGAUCAGAUAUCGCAGAUUGAGAUUAAUGGGCUUGGUCGAUUCGAGCACCCGCCGGCAUCGAAAUCAGCGAUUGAGUCGAUGCCGACUGUAAUUAUAAGCGAGUGCCACACCUCUAUGGAGUCGCACUGUGCGGUUUGUAAAGAGCCCUUCGAAUUGGAAUCGGAGGCGCGAGAAAUGCCGUGUAAGCACAUAUAUCAUUCCGAUUGUAUACUUCCAUGGCUGUCACUUCGAAAUUCGUGCCCAGUUUGCCGCCACGAGUUGCCUGGGGACGAUGAAACUGGUAACGGACAGGUAACAGGGGAAAAUAAUAGUGAGGAGGAGGCGGUGGGAUUGACAAUAUGGAGGUUGCCGGGAGGUGGGUAUGC
rnacentral:misc_RNA from 1 species